rnacentral:rRNA from 1 species
CUAUUUUGGAGAGUUUGAUCCUGGCUCAGGACGAACGCUGGCGGCGUGCUUAACACAUGCAAGUCGAACGGAGAACUUUCUUCGGAAUGUUCUUAGUGGCGAACGGGUGAGUAACGCGUAGGCAACCUGCCCUCUGGUUGGGGACAACAUUCCGAAAGGGAUGCUAAUACCGAAUGAGAUCCUCUUUCCGCAUGGAGAGAGGAUGAAAGAUGGCCUCUACUUGUAAGCUAUCGCCAGAAGAUGGGCCUGCGUCUGAUUAGCUUGUAGG